rnacentral:rRNA from 1 species
UGGGGAAUAUUGCACAAUGGGCGCAAGCCUGAUGCAGCCAUGCCGCGUGUGUGAAGAAGGCCUUCGGGUUGUAAAGCACUUUCAGCGAGGAGGAAGGUGGUGAGCUUAAUACGCUCAUCAAUUGACGUUACUCGCAGAAGAAGCACCGGCUAACUCCGUGCCAGCAGCCGCGGUAAUACGGAGGGUGCAAGCGUUAAUCGGAAUUACUGGGCGUAAAGCGCACGCAGGCGGUUUGUUAAGUCAGAUGUGAAAUCCCCGGGCUCAACCUGGGAACUGCAUUUGAAACUGGCAAGCUAGAGUCUCGUAGAGGGGGGUAGAAUUCCAGGUGUAGCGGUGAAAUGCGUAGAGAUCUGGAGGAAUACCGGUGGCGAAGGCGGCCCCCUGGACGAAGACUGACGCUCAGGUGCGAAAGCGUGGGGCAGCAAACAGGAUUAGAUACCCUCGGUAGUCCACGCUGUAAAACGAUGUCGAUUUGGAGGUUGUGCCCUUGAGGCGUGGCUUCCGGAGCUAACGCGUUAAAUCGACCGCCUGGGGAGUACGGCCGCAAGGUUAAAACUCAAAUGAAUUGACGGGUCUAGCUGUUCC